AAGUCGUAACAAGGUUUCCGUAGGUGAACCUGCGGAAGGAUCAUUACAGAGAACAUCGCCCUCACGGGUGACUCUCCAACCCUAUGUUAUUGUACCUUUGUUGCUUUGGCGAGCCGCUUCGGCCACCGGCUCACGCUGGUGAGUGCUCGCCAGAGGACCCCAAACCCUGAAUCAUUAGUGUCGUCUGAGUACUAUAUAAUAGUUAAAACUUUCAACAACGGAUCUCUUGGUUCUG
rnacentral:misc_RNA from 1 species